GGGGAUGUAUUGGUCUCGACAGGGUAUGGUCGGGUAAGGAGCGCAGUCGGAUGGUCGCGUUAAAGACCAAAAAACAAUAUCUGGCAACAGAAAUCAAUUUGCUUUCGCUGCUUAAUUAAAGCCUAUUAGUCCCACUUAUCGGGAAGCAAAGCCAUCUUAAUGAACUGGGUCUCUUGGUUUGUUAAAGGUGUAAUUUAAAGAGAAUAAGGUUUAUCGAUAUCUAUAAGGUAGGCACGAAAAACUAUAGAUUACUUAAAAGCGGAUUCGUUUGUUGGUCUUACUUUUAAGGAAAUCAAGCAGCAAACUAAACUGUAGUGAUCUUUACUGGACUUAUUUUGGACGCGGUUUCGAUUACCGCCAUCUCCACCA
rnacentral:tmRNA from 1 species